AGGUAGGGUAGGGAAGAGACGUUCGCCACCGCUUCAAGGCCUGGGCCCAGCCAGUGGGCAGCCACAGCAGAGGCCUCCGGUAUCUGCAGGGCAGAGGGCGCGGCCUGUCCCGGGGCGCCCCCUAGCUCACCCGCCGACCCGGGGCCGGAGGGCCUGGAGCGCCCUGGAGGAGCGGCCCGCGCUCUGCGUCUCUCCGCGCUCUCUGCCAGACCGGAACUCUUGCAGUGAUUUCUUACGGGGAGUAAGGAUGAGGUGGGGAAUGAGACUGAAGAAAUGGAAUUAAAAAGAUAACUAUAACUAAAUAAAGAGGAGCCCUGCAGUAAUGUAAUGAGCCAUGAACUGAAGAGUAACAUUUAUUCAACUCUGCCUGUGAAGGAGGGAGAGGGAAAGACAACUAGAGACAGAGGAGAAACGGAAAAAGGAGAAGGGGCUGAGGAGGAUGGAAAAUGAAGACUCUCCCAAAGGGUGGAACCAAGAGCUGUGGAGGACAAGGACACCAGAGCCACUCCCAGUGAACAGAACCACAGCCUAAUCAAGGAACAGACUCUAUCACAAAAUCAAGAGGAGCUGGAUCAAGCCUCAGGUAGAACAUGAGGUGCUGGACUUUAAGAAUGAUGACAGGAUGGAUGAAGAAACAGAGACACCAUGAAGAUAAGACUGAUAUGGUUUGGAUCUGUGUCCCCACUCAAAUCUCAUCUUUAAUUUUAAUCCCCAUGUGUUGAAGAAGGGACGUGACGGGAGGUGAUUGGAUCAUGGGGGCAGUUUCCACCAUGCUGUUCUCGUGAUAGUGAAUGAGUUCUUACGAGAUCUGAUGGUUUAAAAGUGUGACACUUUCCCUCUCACCCCUCCCUCUCUCUCUCCUGCUGCCUUGUGAAGAAGGUGCUUGCUUUUCCUUCACCUUUUGCCACAACUGUAAGUUUCCCGAGGCCUCACAGCCAUGCAGAACUGUGAGUCAAUUAAAUCUCUUUUAUUUAUAAAUUACCCAGUCUCAAAUAGUUCUUUAUAGCAAUGUGAAAAUGGUCUAAUAAAAUGACUUUUUAAAAA
rnacentral:lncRNA from 1 species